rnacentral:rRNA from 1 species
AUACCGGCUGCUCGAGUGAUGGCCACUAUUACUGGGUUUAAAGCGUCCGUAGCUUGACUGUUAGGUCUCUUGGGAAAUCUUCACGCUCAACGUGAAGGCGUCUAAGAGAUACCGGCAGUCUUGGAACUGGGAGAGGUAAACCGUACUUCGGGGGUAGGAGUGAAAUCUUGUAAUCCUCGAGGGACGACCUAUGGCGAAGGCAGUUUACCAGAACAGCUUCGACAGUGAGGGACGAAAGCUGGGGGAGCAAACGGGAUUAGAUACCCCGGUAGUCCCAGCCGUAAACAAUGUGCGUUAGGUGUGUCGGUAACCACGUGUUACUGAUGCGCCGAAGAGAAAUCGUGAAACGCACCACCUGGGAAGUACGGUCGCAAGGCUGAAACUUAAAGGAAUUGGCGGGGGAGCACCACAACAGGUGGAGCCUGCGGUUUAAUUGGAUUCAACGCCGGACAUCUCACCGGAUAAGACAGCUGAAUGAUUGUCAAUCUGAAGGUUUUACAUGACUAGCUGAGAGGAGGUGCAUGGCCGUCGUCAGUUCGUACUGUGAAGCAUCCUGUUAAGUCAGGCAACGAGCGAGACCCACGCCGACAAUUGCCAGCAGCAUCUCCGGAUGGCUGGGGACAUUGUCGGGACCGCCUCUGCUAAAGAGGAGGAAGGAAUGGGCAACGGUAGGUCAGCAUGCCCCGAAUUAUCCGGGCUACACGCGGGCUACAAUGGACGGGACAAUGGGUAACAACACCGAAAGGUGCAGUCAAUCUCCUAACCCCGUCCUUAGUUAGGAUUGCGGGUUGCAACUCACCCGCAUGAAUCUGGAAUCUGUAGUAAUCGCGUUUCACUAUAGCGCGGUGAAUACGUCCCUGCUCCUUGCACACACCGCCCGUCAAACCAUCCUAGUGGGGUUUGGAUGAGUCCCUGGUC